rnacentral:rRNA from 1 species
UCGUGGAGUGAUCUGUCUGGUUGAUUCCGUUAACCAGCCGAGAUAUAGCCUUCGUACUCAGAGGGAUUACGCAUGUUGCCAAUGCGUUGAGAACCGAGCCAAUAGCA